rnacentral:lncRNA from 1 species
CCAGGGACAGCUGGCCCUGCCUGCCCCUCCUCAGGCGUCCUUCCAGCUACAGAGCAGAGCCCGCCCCAGGCAUGCUCCGACCCAGACUGGGAACUCCAUAUCUGAACCUCCUACUCUUUUGGAAUGUUUUCAGGAGCAAUUUAUUAUUUUUCUACACCCGAGGAUGGUGUGCCUAUCUCCUAAAGCCAAGUACACAGAGG